ACGGUUAUAAAUCAACAUAUUGAUUUAUAAGCAUGGAAAUCCCCUGAGUGAAACAACGAAUUGCUGUGUGUAGUCUUUGCCCAU
rnacentral:antisense_RNA from 1 species